GGGCGGGUAGCUCAGUGGCAGAGCGCUGGCCUUACAAGCCGGUGGUCGCAGGUUCGACCCCUGUCCCGCCCA
rnacentral:tRNA from 1 species